CAGGUAUAUUAUUUUCUACGAAAUAUGUCGUUACUUCUUCAAUUUUAUCAUUAAGAAGUUUAAACAGAUUUGAUUUUAGUUCUCCUAUGAAGUAAAAUGGUACGGCUGAAUUUUGUGAGGGGCUGUUUCUCUCUACGGCAGAGUUUGACGCGAAUUACGCGUAAUCGAUACAGCACUGCAAUGUGUGACGGAUAAUGCUGUUCUCUACGCAAGCGCAUUGGAACGAAGUUUUUGAUAACUAAAUUAUAAUUUUUUUAAAAAGCACAGUACGUCAGAUAGACCCACGUCACAAUUUUCACACUCAUAGCGCGAUAGUAUCUGUCAAAUUGCUCUUAAUUUUCUGUUUUGAAGCGACAUUUUGAGGUUGAAGAUUCUAAAAAAUUAUAAGGAUACAGAUCGGCAUGUUAAAAAGAGCAUCUAAUAAUGGUAUAUUUAUUUUAAUGAAAAGCAAUAAUUGAUACCUGACACUGGCGUAACAAAAAAAGAGACUAUAUAUUCUAUCUGUAUAUUGUUAACACUGUUAUAAAAUGUUGUGAGGGCAAAAAAAGUGUGAAGCAAAACAAAUGAAAAAGAUCUAACGGUUCAAAAGGUAAGCGAAUGAGUCAGUAGAGUGAGCCACUAUAGUGGCGCGUCAUAAUAUUUCUUUUUUCUUUUUUUAUUUAUUUAUUUAUUAGAAUAUUUACAAUCAAUUC